rnacentral:rRNA from 1 species
UGAACGCUGGCGGCGUGCCUAAUACAUGCAAGUCGAGCGACCAGACGAGGAGCUUGCUCCUCUGACGUUAGCGGCGGACGGGUGAGUAACACGUGGAUAACCUACCUAUAAGACUGGGAUAACUUCGGGAAACCGGAGCUAAUACCGGAUAAUAUAUUGAACCGCAUGGUUCCAUAGUGAAAGACGGUUUUGCUGUCACUUAUAGAUGGAUCCGCGCCGCAUUAGCUAGUUGGUAAGGUAACGGCUUACCAAGGCAACGAUGCGUAGCCGACCUGAGAGGGUGAUCGGCCACACUGGAACUGAGACACGGUCCAGACUCCUACGGGAGGCAGCAGUAGGGAAUCUUCCGCAAUGGGCGAAAGCCUGACGGAGCAACGCCGCGUGAGUGAUGAAGGUCUUCGGAUCGUAAAACUCUGUUAUUAGGGAAGAACAAAUGUGUAAGUAACUAUGCACGUCUUGACGGUACCUAAUCAGAAAGCCACGGCUAACUACGUG